UGCUACUGCAUGCCUCCUAGAAUAGGCGAGUAGCAGCACAUCACUCGCGCAGCUUCGUCCGUGCAGAUCGGCCUCGUCUGCUCGUCUCCCUCAACAACCGGCAGCCUCCCCUCUUCCGGAUCAAGCACCACAUUUUCCGUUCGUUUUCUUCACUUCUUGUUGAGAAAACAAUACUUCUUCGUCGUCGUCGUCGUCCCCGCCGCGGCAUCGACUGAUUCCGAGGACCGAUGAGCUACUACAACCCGCACGCCCCUGUCGGCGCCCCUCCGCCGCAAG
rnacentral:lncRNA from 1 species